UGGAGGACACCCUGCUGGGUGUCACCACCAGUGCGGUGCUGGAUGGCGUCGUGUCCCCCCCGGAGCUGUUCCCAGGCAGCCAUUCUGACCUGCCUGACGUCAUCUUCUUCUUCAGGUCCAAUGACGUCACACAGCCCUGCACCAGUGGCAGGGCCACCACCCUCCGCCUGCGCUGUGACCCCCUGAGCCCCCCCAGUGGCACCCUGGCUGUCCCCAGCAAAUGCCCCGAAGGGACCUGUGACGGCUGCACCUUCCACCUGCUGUGGGUGUCCCCGCAGGGCUGUCCCCACUGCGCCCCCUCCCACUACCGGGCCAUCCCUGGUGCCUGCAUUGGGGGU